rnacentral:tRNA from 1 species
GCCCCCGUGGCGGAAUGGUAGACGCAACGGACUUAAAAUCCGUUGUCUGGUAACGGACGUGCCGGUUCAAGUCCGGCCGGGGGCACCA